rnacentral:rRNA from 1 species
AUGGGGAUGGCCAUGCCCGCGCUGAUGCCGUCGGCCGACGUUGAUGAGAGCAUCACGGUCGACAACGGCUCCAACGACCUCUCCAGGAGCUUCUCCAUCAGCUCCUCGGACGACACCAACUCCAUUAUCAUGUUCUCCACACCCGGAAGCAAGAAGGCCAAGGUGCUCAUCGACACCGAUGGCGGCAUGUUUGGCAUGUUGACCACGUAUUUGGACAUGCCCGGCAUGGACGACUAUCUGCAGCUGCAGCAGGACUUCAUCGCCUGCACAGUCCACACCAAGCAUGGCUGCGCCACUCACCCACGAAGCAUCGCUGAGAGGGAAAGAAGAGCAAGCAAUAGCAAGAGGCUAAGGAGGCUGCAAGACUUUGUGCCCAAUAUGGACAAGCAAACAACUAUGUCAGACAAAGAUCUGGAGUACCUGCUCAUAUCUGGUGAGCGGGUAGCCUCUCGCCCCAAACGCCCAAGCUCCUGGUGGUAUCCUACUCCACUCGGUUUCUUCUUCUUCCAUGCCUACACAGCUCUAGCUUUUUUUUAG